GAUGAACGCUAGCUACAGGCUUAACACAUGCAAGUCGAGGGGCAUCAGGAAGAAAGCUUGCUUUCUUUGCUGGCGACCGGCGCACGGGUGAGUAACACGUAUCCAACCUGCCCUUUACUCGGGGAUAGCCUUUCGAAAGAAAGAUUAAUACCCGAUGGUAUAAUUAUUCCGCAUGGUUUGAUUAUUAAAGGAUUCCGGUAAAGGAUGGGGAUGCGUUCCAUUAGGUUGUUGGUGAGGUAACGGCUCACCAAGCCUUCGAUGGAUAGGGGUUCUGAGAGGAAGGUCCCCCACAUUGGAACUGAGACACGGUCCAAACUCCUACGGGAGGCAGCAGUGAGGAAUAUUGGUCAAUGGGCGCUAGCCUGAACCAGCCAAGUAGCGUGAAGGAUGAAGGCUCUAUGGGUCGUAAACUUCUUUUAUAUUAGAAUAAAGUGCAGUAUGUAUACUGUUUUGUAUGUAUAAUAUGAAUAAGGAUCGGCUAACUCCGUGCCAGCAGCCGCGGUAAUACGGAGGAUCCGAGCGUUAUCCGGAUUUAUUGGGUUUAAAGGGAGCGUANGUGGACUGGUAAGUCAGUUGUGAAGUUUGCGGCUCAACCGUAAAAUUGCAGUUGAUACUGUCAGUCUUGAG
rnacentral:rRNA from 1 species